GGUCCAAUUAAGGUAUGCAGAAGAGCAUCUCUGAAUACACAAAAUGUUGUACUUUGAAACCUGGAAUCUUCACUGGCCUUCCUUAGCACCAUAAUAUAAUUUGGGAAAGACACUAAAAAAAUGUAUUAGUUUUUCCUAUUUUAAGUAGCCAAGUCCAGUAGUCCUGCAUAGUCCCAUAUUUGAGAACACACUAAUGAAAAAACUCAAAUUGCAAAAGAUAAUUUGUGACCAUUUCUGAAUAAAAUAUGGUUGAAUUUCACAAUACUGCAAAAUAAAGCAUGUAGAAUCCUUUUAAACAUUAAAUACAUAAGUCACAAAACAAUGCCAUUUUCAUUCAGCAUGACUAUAAAGAUAAGAGUAGGAAUAUAGAACAGAAAAUGAACUGGCCUCUGGAAGUUGAGGUCAUCUUGUGCGCCUUCCUAGACAAAGUACAGAUGGUAAGAUCAUACUUCUCCAACUGAAGUAUCACCUGUUGUACUCUUGGAGGUGCUGCUGUAAGUGGCUUGUUUGUGAUGGACUCAAGAGGUUUAUUGUCACUUUCAUUGUCACAUACUGGUGGAUAGCACAAAGCUCUUUUUCAAUCUGAGUAUAGUUAAUUUUAAACACAUAUCCAAUGGCUCAACAUCUGGCUCACAUUUACUUGCAUCAACUUGUAGUCUGAGCUCUUUGCUGGGGUCAAAAUACGAUUGGACUAGAACAGGCUCUCUUGUGACAUCCUUAUUUUCCUGAAAUCUUCAUGCUGUGUCACAUAUGAAAUCAUCAUAAUAUUUUUGAACAGGUGAUGAAAAGGUGCAUUGCUAGACAGGACACAUUUUGUGAAGUAGCUGACCAUGCCAAGGACUGGUUGUAGCUCACUUUUGUCUUCUUGGGCCUCCAUGUGUCUGACAGCUGCAGUUGUAGAUAUAUCACACUUGACUUCUUCUUAGGUGUGAUCACACGCCACACUGUUUCAGUUGAACUCCUUUUGCUCUGCAGCAUUGCAGCACAGCACAUAUGACUAUAUCUUCCUCUAUUGCCGUGACUAUCUGCAGACUUUCAGGUUUAAUUGACUUUCCACUGGAAGUCAACUUGAGAAGAUUUCAGACGAACAGAUGGGCAGACUCUGCUCUUUGUAACGUCCAACCGCUGUGUUGAAUGUUAUCCGGCACACAUCUGAAACAUUAGUGUGACUUGCCUUGUUGCUUAUGUAUUUCCUUUUUCAAGAUUCAAAAUACCGAGAGGAGAAUGUUUUCUUUUGUUGUUUUUAGCCUGUCUUGCCCGGCAGCUUUUCAAUCAGAAUUAUGAUCUGAAUGCACUGUUUCGCCAAACAUGUUUACUUUUCUAAGUUUGUCUGCCAGGAGCUGCAAGAUUCUCCAGCAGCGAUAACAGCUGUCAAUGUCCAGAGAUUCCUCAGAGAAAUUUAACUAAACCCCCACAGCAAGGCUGUUUUAAAAUUGGUAGCCAUUUUUUCUACAAAUGUAUAGAUGGUUAUGCAAGGGUAGUGGGAACAUCAAAUUUCAUCAAAUGCGUCGCAAAAGAAGUUGGUGUACACUGGACUGAGCCAACACUACAGUGUACACCUGACCCAAGGAUAACCACAACACGUCCAACAACAACAAAAGUAAAAGCAGCAACUUUCACCACCAAGAUGAUGCAGAAUGUAAGCACUUUGCCAUCAGUGCCUGGAGAAAGGGACAACAUAGAAACAUACACACAUGGUAAACAGCACAAAGUCACACCGUGCUUGAACACAGAACCGUCUAAAGCAGCAACGCUGGCAUCCAUCUCUGUCACUGUUUUACUGGUGAUUCUCUGCUCUUUGGGCAUCAUCUUCUUACUGUAUCAAAGGAAGUCAAAAAAGCACAUCCCACUGCAGACGCCAGAUGAAGUGAAGCCCAUGAAUCCUGCCCCAUCUGAAGUGGACUUGUAGAUAAUGUAGUACCCUAUGGCUUUCCCACUGACUCUUACCCUCACAUAGAACUGGACUCUGGUCAGAUGGUGUUUGUCACAACCUGAUAACCCAUUUCAUCUUCCAUCAACACCAUCCCCAAAUCAUCAUGGCUAUCUUGCUAUGUUUUUUGUUGUUUAUAUAGCCUAAGAAAGAAGCUUAAUCUUAAA